CCUGCAGAGUGAUGCCUACCACGCUGAACUGGUCCUGGAGGCAGACUCUACACUGUGGCUGGUGAGGAGGUGCCAGGCCUACAACUGUGAGGGACAUUGUGUCUGUGCUGUGCAGGGCGGUACCUGUUCUGCCAGUAAAGCAUGUGUACAAGACAAAACAGGGGCCAACACUGUCACAGUCGUCGACACCAUCAACCUCUUGUUUCCAGCAGAAGUUGACAUGUCUCCUUUCAACACUUUCAUGGCUGCCAACUGGUCUCUACGAAUACAGUGUAGGAGUUAGUGAAAAGGAUUUACCGGAUGGAGUGUUCAAGAAAUCUUCCCAAAGAGUAUGGUUUGAUGCAGGUCAACAAACAUCAGCGAUUUUGUCCUUGGACAAAGGUAGCUUUCUGACACCUGGAAUACAAUACUCCUUCUUCGUGAAAGCUUGGUAGAAUAACAGAAAUUACAGCAUCUUCAAGUCAAAUGGUGUCACUUUCGUUACAUCACCACCCACGGUAACAAGAAAGUCAGGGAGAACUGUGAAGGAAGUCCUAAACAUCAGUGACUCCAAAGACAUAGACUUCCAGACACAGAACAACACACUUGUCGUAACGUGGUCUGGACAUUUCCUGCCUGGUAUAAGCAGCAUCCAUCGAUACAGGGUCUACAUCAGCACGCACA